rnacentral:rRNA from 1 species
AGAGUUUGAUCAUGGCUCAGAAUCAACGCUGGCGGCGCGCUUAACACAUGCAAGUCGCACGAGAAAGGGAGCAAUCCUAAGUAAAGUGGCGCACGGGUGAGUAACACGUGGAUCAUCUACCUUUUAGUGGGGAAUACCUCUGGGAAACCGGAGACAAUACCGCAUAAGCCCGCAAGGGGAAAGCAGCAAUGCGCUGAAAGAGGAGUCCGCGGCCGAUUAGCUAGUUGGCGGGGUAACGGCCCACCAAGGCGAAGAUCGGUAGCCGGCCUGAGAGGGCACACGGCCACACUGGCACUGAAACACGGGCCAGACUCCUACGGGAGGCAGCAGUGGGGAAUCUUGCACAAUGGGCGAAAGCCUGAUGCAGCGACGCCGCGUGAGCGAUGAAGCCCUUCGGGGUGUAAAGCUCUUUCGACGGGAACGAUAAUGACGGUACCCGGAGAAGAAGCUGCGGCUAACUACGUGCCAGCAGCCGCGGUAAUACGUAGGCAGCGAGCGUUGUUCGGAAUUACUGGGCGUAAAGAGUGUGUAGGCGGUGUUCCCAGUCUGUUGUGAAAUCUCCCGGCUUAACUGGGAGGGUGCAGCGGAAACUAGAAUGCUAGAGGGUGGGAGAGGUAAGCGGAAUUCCUGGUGUAGCGGUGAAAUGCGUAGAUAUCAGGAGGNNNNCCUGGUGUAGACAGCUUACUGGACCACUUCUGACGCUGAGACACGAAAGCGUGGGUAGCAAACAGGAUUAGAUACCCUAGUAGUCC